GGCGGAGGCGGGAGGAGAGGCAUAGGUGGAGCAGAGAGGGCUGCUGAUUGGACGGGUCCUCUUGGGCUCCGACCAAUAAAAAGAACACGAGCGUGAGCCUCCCCGCGGGAGCGAGAAACUUAACGUGUUUGGAGUCACUUUACAUUCUGGACCCUGGGAGCUUUGGGCAUGUGGCUUAAUGACAACUGCAAGAUCUAAGCGUUGAAGACACAGUGUGAAUUCUGACCACCAUCACCUCCACUGGCUUUGGCCUCAGCCUUUUCCUGUGAGCUCUAACCUCCAAAUUCGUAACAUCAUUGUAAUUAAAACAUAAACAUACAUUGUACAGG
rnacentral:lncRNA from 1 species